UGGGGGAUAUUGCACAAUGGGCGAAAGCCUGAUGCAGCGACGCCGCGUGGGGGAUGAAGGCCUUCGGGUUGUAAACUUCUUUUGCUCUGAACAAGGCAUGCUAAUGGGUGUGUUGAGUGUAGGGGUUGAUUAGCGCCGGCUAACUACGUGCCAGCAGCCGCGGUAAUACGUAGGGCGCGAGCGUUGUCCGGAAUUAUUGGGCGUAAAGGGCUUGUAGGUGGCUGGUUGCGUCUGUCGUGAAAGCUCAUGGCUUAACUGUGGGGUUGCGGUGGGUACGGGCUGGCUUGAGUGCAGGAGGAGAGGCUGGAAUUCCUGGUGUAGCGGUGGAAUGCGCAGAUAUCAGGAGGAAUACCGGUGGCGAAGGCGGGUCUCUGGGCUGUUACUGACACUGAGGAGCGAAAGCAUGGGGAGCGAACAGG
rnacentral:rRNA from 1 species